UUAACAUUGCCGUCAAUGUUUUGCUGGAUAAUUAUUUACUUUACCCUGACACUUAUUAUCACAUUUUGUUCGCGAGAUUUUUCACGGGAUGGUCUGGUGGUUAAUAAUACAUUCAAAUUUGAUAACGAUUAUUCAUUCAGUUAUUGUUUUAGGAGGUGGCGUGCAGACGACAAUAAUAUUAUACAUUUCUGAUAUUUCCAAUGAUAAUUAAGCUACGUGGAAAAUUCUCUCAUCUUGCACAAGACAUUAAUUUAUAAAGACAAGGAAAGAUAAGAAAAUUAGAUUCAAAAGAUUCAGUUUCGCAUUCGAUAAAAUGAGGUCCAAUUUCAGAUGUGUUAAAAAUUAAUUGAGAAAUAAAUUAUUUUAAACAGGAAGCCGAAAAAUCAUUGAAAUUUUACAAUGGAUACACUGGAAAACUUGUGAAUGAAGUGAUAGCAUUCAGUGCCGAAUUCGAGUGGUUAAAAGCGAUUGCGACUAAAUUGAAAGUUGAUGAAAAAAUUAUGUUAAAAGACAUCUUUAAUCGAGAAUCAAUUCAAGGGCUCUUGAAUGGCAUUAUAUUGGCAAGUUUAGUGCACUUAUCAGCAUCUCUGGUAAUUGUCACUUACUCAGUUGUAAUUUUCAAAGAAGUCGGAGAUGUGCAUGUUGAUCCAUACAUUUCAUCAAUUAUAAUAGCUGUAAUGCAACUGCUGGGCACAUUGUGCACGACUCACUUGGGCGGAAAAUACUGCUGAUCAUUUCAUUGUUGGGUUCAGCAUUCGGUCUUUUCUCAUUUGCAUUGUAAUAUUCGUAUUUGCAGCGCGAUGGAUAUGAUUUGAGUGUAUUUGCAUGGACACCGGUAAUAAGUUUGUCAUUUGUCAUAUUCAUUGCAUCGGCUGGCAUUGUUCCAUUGAUUUUUUUUGUGUACAAUUGAAAAUCUUCCAACAAAGAUUCGAACUAUUGGUUUGACCAUAUGCAAUGUCUUCUUCUUCAACACUAUAUCGUUUAUUUGUUUAAAAUUGUUUCCAAUUUUCAUGGCUAUGAUUGCUUUGCAUGAAAGCAUGCUCAUUUUUGUCAUUACAUGGGUACUUGGGAGCAUAUAUGUGUAUUUUGUAAUUGAAGAAACUAUAAACACCAAUAAAUAAGGCUAUCAGACAAUUGGGAUCAAAGAAAAAAGCUUUGUAGAAUUAAGAAAAAAACAAA